rnacentral:rRNA from 1 species
UUAACCUCACCAUUUCUAGUUAAUCAGCCUGUAUACCUCCGUCGUCAGCUUACCACGUGAGCNCCAAUUAGUGAGCUUAAUGUCUUUCNCCAACACGUUAGGUCAAGGUGCAG